UUUUGUGUUUUAUGAGGUUUUUGGGGUUCUUGGAGUACAAGCUGAUUUUUUGUUAUUUGAUUGAGUUUAUAAGAGAGUAUAUAUGUUUAUAAAUGUUUGAAUAGAUGUGGAGACUCAUUUAAUUUGGGUGAUGAUCUAGGAGAUUUGAAUUUUAUCAAAAUCGGUAUAUGAUAACUUUAUGAUGAAUCAUGUUGGUAUUUGGGAUAUAUGGUUAUGGCAGGUUAAUUGAUGUUGAUUAUUGGUGGAUUUUGAUAUUUGAGGAUAGCUAAAAUUAAGGGGAAACUCUGUCAAAAUUUCCCCAAAUGUCUAAGAUAAAUCUAAUGCUCGAUCUAGGUGGUUUAAGGCAUUUUAGGCAUGUUUUGGGUAUGAAAUUUGAUAUGAAGUUUUAUGGGUAUUUUUAAAUGAGAGUUCAAUGUAUUACUGCCAUCAUUAUGAUGAGAAAUCCAUACUAUUGUCAGGAUAAGCACAUCAAUACCUAAGACAUCACUUGUUACACGGUGAAAUAUAUUUUGGACAAAAGGUAGAGAAAGAAAUGUGUGAAUGACAUGAGGAGAACUGAAGCAUGGUCCUGACCCUGAUUUGUACAUAUGAACAUAUCGACCUUUUUGUGGGUUAUUUCAGUUAUCAGUGAGAUGUUUGUAAUAAAGUGUGAAGUUAUGUUUUGAAAACAAA